rnacentral:rRNA from 1 species
ACGGGUGCGUAACGCGUGGGAAUCUGCCUAAAGGUUCGGAAUAACUCAGGGGAACUUGAGCUAAUACCGGAUGAUGUCUUCGGACCAAAGAUUUAUCGCCUUUAGAUGAGCCCGCGUAGGAUUAGCUAGUUGGUGGGGUAAAGGCCCACCAAGGCGACGAUCCUUAGCUGGUCUGAGAGGAUGAUCAGCCACACUGGGACUGAGACACGGCCCAGACUCCUACGGGAGGCAGCAGUGGGGAAUAUUGGACAAUGGGCGAAAGCCUGAUCCAGCAAUGCCGCGUGAGUGAUGAAGGCCUUAGGGUUGUAAAGCUCUUUUACCCGGGAUGAUAAUGACAGUACCGGGAGAAUAAGCCCCGGCUAACUCCGUGCCAGCAGCCGCGGUAAUACGGAGGGGGCUAGCGUUGUUCGGAAUUACUGGGCGUAAAGCGCGCGUAGGCGGCUUUGUAAGUUAGAGGUGAAAGCCCGGAGCUCAACUUCGGAAUUGCCUUUAAGACUGCAUCGCUUGAAUCAUGGAGAGGUCAGUGGAAUUCCGAGUGUAGAGGUGAAAUUCGUAGA